rnacentral:rRNA from 1 species
AUUGAACGCUGGCGGCAGGCCUAACACAUGCAAGUCGAGCGGAUGAAGGGAGCUUGCUCCUGGAUUCAUCGGCGGACGGGUGAGUAAUGCCUAGGAAUCUGCCUGGUAGUGGGGGAUAACGUCCGGAAACGGGCGCUAAUACCGCAUACGUCCUGAGGGAGAAAGUAGGGGAUGUUCGGACCUCACGCUAUCAGAUCAGCCUAGGUCGGAUUAGCUAGUUGGUGGGGUAAAGGCCUACCAAGGCGACGAUCCGUAACUGGUCUGAGAGGAUGAUCAGUCACACUGGAACUGAGACACGGUCCCGAGUCCUCAGGGAGGCAGCAGUCGGGAAUAUUGGACAAUGGGCGAAAGACUGAUCCAGCCAUGCCGCGUGUGUGAAGAAGGUCUUCGGAUUGUAAAGCACUUUACGUUGGGAGGAAGGGUAGUAAGUUAAUACCUUGCUGUUUUGACGUCACCAACAGAAUAAGCACCGGCUAACCUCGUG